rnacentral:tRNA from 1 species
GCCGCUAUCGUCUAACGGUUAGGACACGGGGUUCUCAGUCCUGUAAUCGGGGUUCGAUUCCCCGUAGCGGUGCCA